rnacentral:rRNA from 1 species
AGCCAGACUCCUACGGGAGGCAGCAGUGGGGGAUAUUGCACAAUGGGGGGAACCCUGAUGCAGCGACGCCGCGUGGGUGAGGAAGCGCCUCGGCGCGUAAAGCCCUGUCAGCAGGGAAAAAAAUGACGGUACCUGAAGAAGAAGCCCCGGCUAACUACGUGCCAGCAGCCGCGGUAAUACGUAGGGGGCAAGCGUUAUCCGGAUUUACUGGGUGUAAAGGGAGCGCAGACGGCAGUGCAAGUCUGGAGUGAAAGCCCGGGGCCCAACCCCGGAACUGCUCUGGAAACUGUGCGGCUAGAGUACUGGAGGGGCAGGCGGAAUUCCUAGUGUAGCGGUGAAAUACGUAGAUAUUAGGAGGAACACCAGUGGCGAAGGCGGCUUACUGGACUGUAACUGACGUUGAGGCUCGAAAGCGUGGGGAGCAAACAGGAUUAGAUACCCCCGUA